ensembl:lncRNA
GAAGACAGACUGUUGUGUCUUCUGGUCUUGUAGUCGGUUUCUAAAAGCUCACAUUUAGAAAAAGGAGAAAAGAAGGAGAACCAGAAAGGAAGCAAAGAAGAAAUAAUCCAAGGAAUAGAAUAGGAACCAAGAGAGUCAGAGAAACAAGGAGGAGAAAGUUUCAAGAAACGGACAGUGGUUAACUGUGCAAAACAAAUUGAGGAAGGAAGACGAGGACUAAAACGGGACCUUUAAGUGAGCAAUGAGGAUACCAUGACAGCAUUUGACAGCAUUUUCACCAGAAUGGAUAAUAUCUCUGCCUAAGUACAAGUAAGUUGAAAAAGCAAGUGGGUGUUGGAAUUGCCCUGAACAGCUUUGAAGUGCUAUACUAAUAAGGUGGUGUUGAUUUUAGUGUCGUCAUAGAAACAAAAAACAUGUCGGAGAACUAAAGCCACUUAAAACUCCUGACUCCAGCCCAUCACGUCCCCUUGACUUGUUUGUGAAAGAUGCCAGUAAAAACAAUGAGAGGGGAGGAGCUAAUUCAGAUUUCUUCCUUUAGCUGCGGACCCUAAGUAGAAAUCUUCACUCUUUAUCUUGAGAAGGAAGCCAGCACCAUCUCUGACACAAAAGUUCCUUACAGCACAAAUGGCUGUCUGACCAGAGUUCCUUCUUCUCUUGCCAUUGGCUGACAUUGUUCAUAAAAUACACUUUGCUGUUUCACUUUUUUUUAAAACAAGCAAACUGAAUUACUUGGAGGAGGAAGACAGCAGAGACAGAGGAUACAGAGCCACGGCAGCUGAAAGAAAGAAAACUCAGCAGGGGUAACCCUAAUCUCCUAACCUCCAGGAUCUAAUGCCUGAUGAUCUGAGGUGGAGCUGAGGUAAUAAUAAUAAUAGACAUAAAGUGCGCAGUUAAUGUGAUAUGUCUGAAUCAUCCGGAAACCAUCACCCCCGCCCUGGU